rnacentral:rRNA from 2 species
CGGGAGGCAGCAGUAGGGAAUCUUCCACAAUGGACGAAAGUCUGAUGGAGCAACGCCGCGUGAGUGAUGAAGGGUUUCGGCUCGUAAAACUCUGUUGUUGGAGAAGAACAGGUGUCAGAGUAACUGUUGACAUCUUGACGGUAUCCAACCAGAAAGCCACGGCUAACUACGUGCCAGCAGCCGCGGUAAUACGUAGGUGGCAAGCGUUGUCCGGAUUUAUUGGGCGUAAAGCGAGCGCAGGCGGUUUUUUAGGUCUGAUGUGAAAGCCUUCGGCUUAACCGGAGAAGUGCAUCGGAAACCGGGAGACUUGAGUGCAGAAGAGGACAGUGGAACUCCAUGUGUAGCGGUGAAAUGCGUAGAUAUAUGGAAGAACACCAGUGGCGAAGGCGGCUGUCUGGUCUGUAACUGACGCUGAGGCUCGAAAGCAUGGGUAGCGAACAGGAUUAGAUACCCUGGUAGUCCAUGCCGUAAACGAUGAGUGCUAAGUGUUGGAGGGUUUCCGCCCUUCAGUGCUGCAGCUAACGCAUUAAGCACUCCGCCUGGGGAGUACGACCGCAAGGUUGAAACUCAAAGGAAUUGACGGGGGCCCGCACAAGCGGUGGAGCAUGUGGUUUAAUUCGAUGCUACGCGAAGAACCUUACCAGGUCUUGACAUCUUCUGCCAACUUAAGAGAUUAGGCGUUCCCUUCGGGGACAGAAUGACAGGUGGUGCAUGGUUGUCGUCAGCUCGUGUCGUGAGAUGUUGGGUUAAGUCCCGCAACGAGCGCAACCCUUAUUGUUAGUUGCCAGCAUUCAGUUGGGCACUCUAGCAAGACUGCCGGUGACAAACCGGAGGAAGGUGGGGAUGACGUCAAAUCAUCAUGCCCCUUAUGACCUGGGCUACACACGUGCUACAAUGGACGGUACAACGAGUCGCGAAACCGCGAGGUCAAGCUAAUCUCUUAAAGCCGUUCUCAGUUCGGAUUGUAGGCUGCAACUCGCCUACAUGAAGUUGGAAUCGCUAGUAAUCGUGGAUCAGCAUGCCACGGUGAAUACGUUCCCGGGCCUUGUACACACCGCCCGUCACACCAUGAGAGUUUGUAACACCCAAAGCCGGUGAGGUAACCUUCGGGGACCAGCC